rnacentral:siRNA from 1 species
GCCGCAUCGGUGUGACAGACUA